CAUUAAAAUGUCUAUAACUAGAUGGAUUAUUAGUUUUUAAAUGAUAAAUGUUGCUGUUGACAUUUUUGAUUUUCGCCAAUCCGUUAGCGAGAUAUUCCACUUUUAAGAUUGGGCUGAGAAAGAACAGUAAGUAUCAUUCAUGUGCACGAAGCUUUAAUAAUGCACCACUUCGCUUUAUUUUAAGAAAUCCAUCUAUUUAUGAAAUUUUUAAAAAUAGAUUCUCAUUUGAUAAUCAAAAGUAAUUAGUGGCUUUAACCUCAAAAUUAAGGGUGAC